GUUCCUACAACUUAUCCUUUUAUUCUUUCAAUGCCCAUUGGCAAUCAUUAUUUCACCUGACCGUUUGAUUUUUUUUUCAGCUUGAAUAUAGGUUCACACGUGGCUGUUAGAUGAGAUGUGAACCAUGACAGGUAGUUCAAUCUUUCUAAGAAACCACGAACCUCUCUUUUUCUUUCUCGGUUCAGGCAUUUCUCUUAUUGUUUUUUUACCUUUUUUUUUUUUUUUUUUUUUUUUUUUUUUUUUUUUUUUUUUUUUUUU
rnacentral:lncRNA from 1 species